rnacentral:tRNA from 1 species
GGGGAUAUGGCGCAGCUGGUAGCGCACCUGCAUGGCAUGCAGGGGUCAGGGGUUCGAGUCCCCUUAUCUCCA